GCGUUUGCCUCAGUACCACAUUGGCUAAAAUUGGAAUGAUACAGAGAUUACCUUAGCCCCUAAACAAAAUGACAGGUGCUUUCAUGAAGCAGCCCACUAAAUA
rnacentral:snRNA from 1 species